CCAGGCAGUGGCACUUGACGGAAAUAUAAUAAAUAUAAAUACAGGAAACGUAAAAACCAACGCACCAUCCAGCGUCGCGUUUCCAACGAUUGAUCAUGGCGUGUAAUUAUUCAGAUUUGUUUGGUGGAGACGGGUGAAUGCGACAGGUUUCCAUUGGUGCGGGCUAAAUGUUUGAUAGGCUCGACAUGGGAAGUGCGCAGCCUUACUAUUGGCUCCUACAAAGUGUGGUAGGGCUCCGUGGGAUUAACGAUAAAGCGUGGCGGGUUCGGUGCCUUCGUGUUUAAGCGGCACACAACUGGCGUGCGUUACAUUUCACCACCAAAGCGGGCUCGUUGUGUCAUUAACUUCAGCCAACAUGUCUGCUUCCGCAACGAGGGAGGCAGAAUGACCACGCAGAAUUCGGCAGAGCGGUUCGUUUCAUCGUCUUAAUCCACAAACGGACCAACGCUCCACAGUCCGCUGUGGUUGUGUGAGCGUGGACCCGACACGAGCGCCACCUAGCGGACAAAGUGGAGAAGUCACGAGCGGCGGUUUACAGCAGCCGGGCGGUAAACGUGGACGGAGGAGACGCCGAACGCCACAUAGAGACACGGAUGUGUUCUAUGCAGCGUGGGCCCACUGCAGAAACACUCAUCCUCGUCUUCAUCACCUCUCGACUGGACGACUGCGACAGCAUCCUGUAAGGCACAUCCACCCAACUACAAUACAUCCCUUCACAACCCUGAAGCCCUUCAUACCUUUCUGACCUCCUGCACCCACAACCUCAGAACUGCAGACUCCAACCUCCUUACCCCCCGUCUAAGCAUCGGACCUGGGGGGGGGACAGGGCCUUCUCCAUUGCUGCCCCCUCCCUCUGGAACUCUCCCCCCCAUCAGACAAUCUCCAUCACUCACUUUGCUUCUAUUGUUUGUCAUUACCAUGUAAAGUGCCUCGAGUACCUUUUAAGGCGCUAUACAAACAACAUUUAUUAUUAUUAUGAUCAUGGAAACAAGACAUAUCAAAUAGAGUACACACGAUGAGUGGGCGAUAAUGUGGAUGUGACAUUUCAUGUUCAGCCCUGCCGUAUCCUCCUCCAUCAGUGUCUGAGCCUCCGUACAACACCCCCCCCCCUCUUCUUGUACCCCUCCCAGACUCUCUGGCCCAACUCGCCACGCUUGAUUUAAAGGUUUUCCCUUCUUCUACUUGCUGAAUGCGCUCCGACGUAUGAGCUGCAGUUGAAAUGCGUGACUGAUUUAAUAAGGAGUGUUUCCAAGGUGGGGGGCUGCAGCAGUGGCUCCGGAGACGGCCGUGCCAAGCGGUGCGAUGCCUGCUGCACGGGGGCCGCUUUCUGCUGAGCACCGAGUUCAAGAAGACUUAAAUCAGCGCUUCUCUCCGCACGGCAGCGGAGCUGGAUGGACUUCACCGCGCUGGAGUAACGGAACACACUCUGCCAGACGUGCGACCAUAUACAGAAACCAAAAGUCCAUUUACACAUUAUAGAGUGAGCAUUAUUGCAAAGACACUGUGCUGCUCCUGAUGGCAAGGUCAGAGUAAAAUGGUGGUCUGUCUUAUUUCAGGUCGUCUCCCAGAGAUUUAAAUACGUGCCACCAAGUGUGUGGGACUCCAGUAAUUAGCGAUGUUUCUUUAAAGGAGGGGGGCUGGUAAUUCUGUCAGGCUUGCGUCUCGUCUCUGAGCUCUCGAAGUAAGUUUGCAUAUUGUUACGAUCGAUUCCAUUUGUGACACCGACACACGCAGAGCCUCAACCAAUCAAAUGAUCCAUGUGAUUAAUGAUCGCAAGACAUUACAGCACAGCGAUGAACUCCAGAAAAUGAAAUGGAUGAAACAAAACGACUAACACGCCACGAGCAUUUUUAGUCCUUUUAUUCACGUAACGGUAACAGGAGAUUGGGAUAGGCCAGACAUGACAUGCACAAAAUAUAUCAAAACUCUCUCUGGGGGAGACAGACAACUCGACGGCUGCCUGCCGUCUUUCACGCGGCGAUAGAUAAGAGAAGGGGUGAGAGAAACAUUGACGGGUGGAGGUUAGAGGUAGAGCCCCUCCGGCGUGCCCUCCUGCUUCUUGUACAGGACGUUCUCCUUGGACUUCUUGAAAUCUUCGUUGGUGACUUUCAUGCGGCGCUCACGCAGAGCCAUGAGGCCGGCUUCUGUGCAGAUGGCCUGGAGGACACAGGGAGAGGAGAUGAACCAAAAGACCACAGUGUUCCAGCAUUAGUCCAUCCAUUGAGUAAGAGAUACCUUUGCUUCAUUAUUAAAGAGCAAUAAUAAAUAUACAAAAGAUAAAAUAAGACAAGUCUCUUGUGACCAUCUAAUUGUUUUGUUUUUAGAACAGUCAACAUCUUUAUUGCAUACAGCAAUAUUAUCCAUCACAACUCGACCCAUUUAGUGCAUUAAAGUGCUGUUUUACAUUCUGGGUUUAAUAUAAAACACCAUCACCAAUAACAGGAUUAUUAAUGAUGACGCUCUGUCACCACAAGCGAGUGCGUUCUAACGACUGCUGCCUUCUCUCUCCAAACUAUCCAAACCAAUAAGUGUUUUGGGACUUGACGUCCUCCUUCAGUUGCACACUCAAUCGCCACCGUGUUGAUGGGGGGGAAUAAACAAACAAAUUAUUUGUCGUCAUUUAGUUACUUUAAGACUCGUUCAUCCCUACUAAAGAGUCCACGCUGGAUUUCGGCUUUUAUACAU